AAUAUGUUAUGGAAAUGUGAGUUUAUAUAUGCUUUUUAUUAUGUAUUUAAUUUAGUCAUAAAACACUUAUAUAUCAACUAUGUUGAAUGUAUAUAUGAAGGGCAUUAAGAUUAUUUAAUUCGAACAAUGGAAGGAAAGGAAGAAAGCAUGUACAAUGGGAAGUAAUCAAGGCUCCUAGGCAGCCAGAUGUGAAACAAUGUGGUUAUUACGUGAUGAAAUUUAUGAGACAAAUUACUGAAGAAAUUGCAAUGAUCGAGGGGGAUACACUACCAUCAAUAUUCACAAAAGCGGAAUACUCUCAAGAAGAAAUUGAUGAAGUGCACUCU